UAUGAUUAGUGAGUUGUAGGAGGGAUUCGAGUCUGUCCCAUAACAGUCUACUAUCGAUGAGAAUUUAAAUCACUUCUGAAUGAAUUUCCAGCUAAUCAAAGUCCGCGAUAAGGAUUACAUGUCGAUUCUCUUGCAUCCCAGUGCAAGCACUCGAUGCUUAUCACCGUCAUCGCAGGAAUGAAGCUCGACGAUACAUCAAAUAUCGAGAUCUCACCUUCUGACCGGGCGGUAUCAACAGCUGUAAAUUCGAUAUCACCGGAUCGCUAUCCCGAUCGUAACGCAGGGACACGUUGUCGAACAGAAUUUCCCCUUUUUGCGGCCAUUUUUCCGGAACUCUGAACCCUGAGGAUGAGCAAGCAUCAAGAAGAAUGCAUUCAUCUUCCACUUACCGUCGUCGUCGUCGUCCGUUUCUUCCGUGUAUCCGGAUUCCGUCGACAGCAAUCCUUUCACUGGAUGACUGUCCCACUCUUGCGUCGGUGUUGUCCUGAGGAUAACGAGAUCGGUGGAAACGUAUUUUUGCGAGACAUGACCGAAUGGAUUAAAAAUAAGAAAAUCACUUACCUGCCGGAAAAGAGCUGCUUGAUCACCCCAUUCUGUUGACCACCGUCGAGGGUAUUGUGUCGCUUCCUACUAACAGUGCCCGUCGAGGAUGGUGGGGGUGCUGCUUUGCCUGAGGACGGGAGGAGGAUGUUUCGGGGGUGGAAGACUCGUCGCUCUGACGGCGAUUUUGUGUUUCUUCGAUCGUCGCCUGACGGUGCUCCAUUCAUCGGCAGGUACCGGAAGGUCCGUCAAGUCAUGAGCGAGAUAUCGGGAUCCCACCAGCGUCGAUCUCCUCGUUCUGAGAGGAACGAAAGCCGGUGCCGUCUCGAAGAUGGAUCGGAAGUAAACUAUAAAUACCUCGCUCACUUACUUCAGCCAUUCAACCUUUCCGCUUAUCGUCUGGAUUUCCCCUAGGAUCGCCGAUAGCAAAGAGGUCUUUCCAGACCCUAUUUUUCCGACGACUAGGAACAGAACAUGAGAAACAACGAAAAUCGAACGGAAAAUUACCUUCAAUGGAACCGCCCAGGUAUAAUGUCCGAUCCAGAAGAAGCUCAUGACAUUAGAAGCGUCCUCAACCAUCAGAUUGGUCAGGGUUCCAAUGUCU